GCGGAAGUGGCGAAAUUGGCAGACGCACCAUCUUGAGGGGGUGGCGCUCGCAAGGGCAUGCGGGUUCAAGUCCCGCCUUCCGCA
rnacentral:tRNA from 2 species